GGCAGUCGUGGCCUGAUGGUCAGAGAGUCAGACUUAUAACUCAAAGGCGAAUCUGAAGGUUGUGGGUUCGAGUCUCAGGUCUGGCA